UGUUCGGUCUUUAUUGAUUGGCUAUUGUUGAGCAAAACGUUUUACCUUGAGAAAAUUAGAGUGUUCCAGGCAGGCUUCUAGCCGGAAUACAUUAGCAUGGAAUAAUGGAAUAGGACUGGGGACUAUUUUUGGUUUGAGGCUCCAGUAAUGAUUAACUAGGAACAGUUCGGGGGCAUUAGUACUUGACAGUCAGAGGUGAAAUUCUUGGAUUUGUCAAAGACUAACUAAUGCGAAAGCAUUUGCCAAGCAUGUUUUCAUUAAUCAAGAACGAAAGUUAGGGGAUCAAAGACGAUUAGAUACCGUCCUAGUCUUAACUGUAAACGAUUCCAUCUUGGAAUUGGGUGGAUAUAUUAUGAUUCAUCCAGCGCCAUAAGAGAAAUCAAAGUCUUUGGGUUCUUGGUGGAGUACGAUCGCAAGAUUGAAACUUAAAGGAAUUGACGGUUUUGCACACCAUGGAGUGGAGCCUGUGGCUUAAUUUGACUCAACACUGGGAAACUCAUCAGGACAAAAAAGUUUUAGGAUUGACAGAUUGAUAGCUCUUUCUUGAUUGACUUAAUGGUGGUGCAUGGCCGUUCUUAGUUGGUGGAGUGAUUUGUCUGGUUAAUUCCGUUAACGAACGAGACCUCAACCUACUAAAUAGUACGACGUGAACAACGUUAGUUACUUCUUAGAGGGACAAUGUGUGUUAACACAAGGAAGUUUGAGGCAAUAACAGGUCUGUGAUGCCCUUAGAUGUCCUGAGCCGCACACGCGCUACAAUGACACUUUCAAUAAGUAUCUGCUGGCCCGAAAGGGUACAGGCUAAUCUUUUUAGUAAGUGUCGUGCUAGGGAUAGAUCUUUGCAAUUAUGGAUCUUGAACGAGGAAUUCCUAGUAAGCACAAGUCAUCAGCUUGUGCUGAUUACGUCCCUGCAAAAUGUACACAUCGCCCGUCGCUUGCUCCGAUUGAAUAAUCUGGUGAGCCUUCUUGACUGAGCUGGCAACGGCAAAGGAUAUUAAGCAAACCAUAUUAUUUAGARGGAWRAAGAARWMGUAACUACUGCG
rnacentral:rRNA from 1 species